ACAGAUCCCACUGCGGCCGGCGGACAUGGAGGGGUCUUUACUGAGGGGGGAGGGGCGGGGGGCGCCCCCCACGGAGGUUUUGGGGUCGUUUUCCCCAAUUUUGGUCCGGGAUGGAUUUGGGGGUGGGGGGGGAGGGGGGCUGGAAUGGAUUCCCAGGGUCUGGGAUGGUUUCUUGGAGGUCUGGAAUGGAUUUGGGGGGGUCCGGAAUGGAUUCUGGGGCUCAGGAAUGGAUUUCAGGGGGUCCGGAAUGGAUUUGGGGAGUCCGGAAUGGAUUUGGGGAGUCCGGAAUGGAUUUGGGGAGUCCGGAAUGGAUUUGGGAGGUCUGGAACGGAUUCCCGAGGUCAGGAAUGGGUUCUGGGGGUCUGGAAUGGAUUCCUGAGGUCAGGAAUGGAUUCCGGGUGGUCAGGAAUGGAUUUUCGGGGGUCCGGAAUGAAUUUGGGGUGUCAGGAACGGAUUCCAAAGGUCCGGAAUGGAUUGGAGGGGGGCUGGAAUGGAUUUGGGGGUCCCGGGUCCCCCCAAAACCGCGGGCACGGAAACGUCCCCGAGAGUCCUUCCCCCUCCUGCCCCUCCGGCCCGGGGGGGCUCGGCCCCGGUUCCGGGGGGUCCCGGUCCCGGUUCUGGAGGCUCCUGGUUCUGGUCCUGGACGUUUCCCGGUCCUGGUUCCAGUCCCGGUCUGCUUCCAGAGGAAUCCAGUUCCAGUUAUUUCCCAGUCCUGAUUCCAGUUCCGGAGUUUUCCUGGUCCCAGUCCAGGUCCGAGUUCCAGUUCCGGAGUUUUCUUGGUCCCAGUUCUGGAUCCAGAGUUUCCCUGGUCCCGGUCCCAUCCAGUCCCAGUCCCGGUUCCAGUUCUGGUUCUGGUUGUGUCCCGGUCCCGGUUCCAGUUCCAGUUCCAGAGUUUCCCAGUCCAGGUCCCAGUUCUGGUUCCGGAUUUUCCCUGGUCCUGGACCCGGUUCCAGCUCCAGUUCGGAUUUUCCCUGAUCCUGGUUCCAAUCCUGGUUCCGGUUCCAAUCCCGGUCCCAGUUCCAGUCCUGGUUCUGGUUCUUUCCCAGUCCCGGUCCCGGUUCCAGUCCCGGUUCUGGUUCUUUCCCAGUCCCGGUUCCGGUUCCAGUUCCGGAUUUUCCCUGGUCCUGAUCCCAAUCCCGGUCCCGGUUCCAGUCCUGGUUCUGGUUCUUUCCCAGUCCCGGUCCCGGUUCCAGUCCUGGUUCUGGCUCUUUCCCAGUCCCGGUCCCGGUUCCAGUUCCGGAUUUUCCCCGGUCCCGCUCCCUUUCAGCCCAGGUGCAGCCGCUGGUGCCGGAGGAGGGCGGAGCUUCCCCCGAAGCCCCGCCCACAAUCCCCGCAGGUGAGGGGCGUGUCACCGUCAGGUGUGUCACGGGUGAGGGGCGUGGCACAGGUGAGGGGCGUGGCACAGGUCACGGGCAUGGCACCGAUCCCAGGUGUGUCACGGGUGAGGGGCGUGGCACCAGUGGGCGUGUCACAGGUGAGGGGCGUGUCACAGGUGAGGGGUGUGUCCCAGGUGAGGGCCGUGGCACAGGCGAGGGGCGUGGCACCGCUGCCAGGCGUGUCCCAGGUGAGGCCCGUGUCCGGGGCGCGUCCGCUCAGGUGUGCCGGGGGGGCGUGUCCCUGGCCCAGCCCCGCCCCGCAGCGGGCGCAGCCCCGCCCCGGCCCCGCCUUCCUCCUCCUCCUCCUCCUCCCGCCGCCGCCCGGCUCCUCCCCGUGGGCGUGGCGGUGCUUGAGGAAGGCGGAGCUGUAGCUGAAGCCCCGCCCACACUCCGCACAGGUGAAGCGCCGGCGGCUCAGGUGCGCGCCCCGCCCGCGGCCCCGCCCGCGCUGGCCACGCCCCCUGCCCGAG
ensembl:lncRNA